rnacentral:rRNA from 1 species
AUUGAACGCUGGUGGCAGGCCUAACACAUGCAAGUCGAGCGGAGCGGCGGACGGGUGAGUAAUGCCUAGGAAUCUGCCUGGUAGUGGGGGAUAACGUCAGGAAACGGGCGCUAAUACCGCAUACUAUCAGAUGAGCCUCGGUCGGAUUAGAUAGUGGGGGGGGUAAAGGCAUACCAAGGCGACGAUCCGAAACUGGUCUGAGAGGAUGAUCAGUCACACGGGAACUGAGACACGGUCCAGACCCCUACGGGAGUCAGCAGGGGGGAAUAUGGGACAAUGGGCGAAAGGCUGAUCCAGCCAUGCCGGGUGUGUGAAGAAGGUCUUCGGAUUGUAAAUCACUUUAAGUUGGGAGGCGUUACCAACAGAAUAAGCACCGGCUAACUUCGUGCCAGCAGCCGCGGUAAUU